rnacentral:rRNA from 1 species
UACGUAGGGGCCUAGCGUUGUCCGGAAUUAUUGGGCGUAAAGAGCUCGUAGGCGGUUUGUCGCGUCUGCUGUGAAAGACCGGGGCUCAACUCCGGUUCUGCAGUGGGUACGGGCAGACUAGAGUGAUGUAGGGGAGACUGGAAUUCCUGGUGUAGCGGUGAAAUGCGCAGAUAUCAGGAGGAACACCGAUGGCGAAGGCAGGUCUCUGGGCAUUAACUGACGCUGAGGAGCGAAAGCAGGGGGAGCGAACAGG